rnacentral:rRNA from 1 species
AUUGAACGCUGGCGGCAUGCCUUACACAUGCAAGUCGAACGGUAACGCGGGGCAACCUGGCGACGAGUGGCGAACGGGUGAGUAAUAUAUCGGAACGUGCCCAGUAGUGGGGGAUAGCCCGGCGAAAGCCGGAUUAAUACCGCAUACGACCUACGGGUGAAAGGCGGGGGAUCGCAAGACCUCGCGCUAUUGGAGCGGCCGAUAUCAGAUUAGGUAGUUGGUAGGGGUAAAGGCCUACAAGCCUACGAUCUGUAGCUGGUCUGAGAGGACGACCAGCCACACUGGGACUGAGACACGCCCAGACUCCUACGGGAGGCAGCAGUGGGUAAUUUUGGGACAAUGGGCGCAAGCCUGAUCAGCCAUGCCGCGUGCGGGAAGAAGGCC